ACAACAACAAAAGAUCCCACAUGCCACAACUAAGACCCACUGCAGCCAAAUGAAUAAUGAAAAUCAUAGAACGGGACUAAUGAUCCUGCCCCAGGAGUGCCGGAGGCUGGGAUGAGAAUCCCUCUGAUUUCCUGCCCAGAACUGGUUUUCCUUCUGCCGCUCUUCCACUGGCAUUUUGUUCCAAGAAACCACUGGGAGGAACAGAAAUCUCUGGAGUUUUGGGUUUGGGGGAGAAGUGAAGUUCUAGGAACAUUUCUGAGAGAGCCUCGGUUGGGUUGAUGGUUGUAAAGGAUUCUGAUGGAGUCAACCAGUGCAGGAGGACUGGGACCAGCAUGAUUACCUUGAGCACCCUUCUGGUUGCUGGGUGGCUGCAUUCAACAUCUUAUCAACUGGCCAACAAGGCAAGCCGUAAGCACCCAACAGUCUCAUCCAUAGGCAGAG